rnacentral:rRNA from 1 species
UCUGAUACUGUUAAGCUAGAGUAGGUGAGAGGGAAGUAGAAUUCCAGGUGUAGCGGUGAAAUGCGUAGAGAUCUGGAGGAAUACCGAUGGCGAAGGCAGCUUCCUGGCAUCAUACUGACACUGAGGCUCGAAAGCGUGGGUAGCAAACAGGAUUAGAUACCCUGGUAGUCCACGCCGUAAACGAUGUCUACUAGUCGUUGGGGAACUUGAUUCCUUAGUGACGCAGCUAACGCAAUAAGUAGACCGCCUGGGGAGUACGGCCGCAAGGUUAAAACUCAAAUGAAUUGACGGGGGCCCGCACNAGCGGUGGAGCAUGUGGUUUANUUCGAUGCAACGCGAAGAACCUUACCUGGUCUUGACAUAUCUAGAAUCCUGCAGAGAUGCGGGAGUGCCUUCGGGAAUUAGAAUACAGGUGCUGCAUGGCUGUCGUCAGCUNGUGUCGUGAGAUGUUGGGUUAAGUCCCGCAACGAGCGCAACCCUUGUCCUUAGUUACCAGCGGGUUAAGCCGGGAACUCUAAGGAUACUGCCAGUGACAAACUGGAGGAAGGCGGGGACGACGUCAAGUCAUCAUGGCCCUUACGACCAGGGCUACACACGUGCUACAAUGGUAGGUACAGAGGGCAGCUACACAGCGAUGUGAUGCGAAUCUCAAAAAGCCUAUCGUAGUCCAGAUUGGAGUCUGCAACUCGACUCCAUGAAGUAGGAAUCGCUAGUAAUCGCGGAUCAGAAUGCCGCGGUGAAUACGUUCCCGGGCCUUGUACACACCGCCC